GGAAUGUCCCUUCCUGAUGAAUCCAAUAGAAAAUGGAUGUGCACAGGUAAAUGCCACAUACCAGAAACCAGUGAACAAUCCCUAUGCACCCACAUAUAACCCAGGUUGGAGAAAUCAUCCAAACUUUUCUUGAUCACAAAACCCAAAUGUAGGUGGUCCUAGCUACAGCCAGCAAAAUCCAAGGCCUAACCCUAUGAUA
rnacentral:lncRNA from 1 species